GAGGCCUAACACAUGCAAGCCGAGCGGUAGAAGAUCUUCGGAUCUUUGAGAGCGGCGUACGGGUGCGGAACACGUGUGCAACCUGCCUUUAUCUGGGGGAUAGCCUUUCGAAAGGAAGAUUAAUACCCCAUAACAUAUUGAGUGGCAUCACUUAAUAUUGAAAACUCCGGUGGAUAGAGAUGGGCACGCGCAAGAUUAGAUAGUUGGUGAGGUAACGGCUCACCAAGUCAGUGAUCUUUAGGGGGCCUGAGAGGGUGAUCCCCCACACUGGUACUGAGACACGGACCAGACUCCUACGGGAGGCAGCAGUGAGGAAUAUUGGACAAUGGGUGAGAGCCUGAUCCAGCCAUCCCGCGUGAAGGACGACGGCCCUAUGGGUUGUAAACUUCUUUUGUAUAGGGAUAAACCUUUCCACGUGUGGAAAGCUGAAGGUACUAUACGAAUAAGCACCGGCUAACUCCGUGCCAGCAGCCGCGGUAAUACGGAGGGUGCAAGCGUUAUCCGGAUUUAUUGGGUUUAAAGGGUCCGUAGGCGGGCUCGUAAGUCAGUGGUGAAAUCUCAUAGCUUAACUAUGAAACUGCCAUUGAUACUGCGAGCCUUGAGUAAGGUAGAGGUAGCUGGAAUAAGUAGUGUAGCGGUGAAAUGCAUAGAUAUUACUUAGAACACCAAUUGCGAAGGCAGGUUACCAUGUCUUAACUGACGCUGAUGGACGAAAGCGUGGGGAGCGAACAGGAUUAGAUACCCUGGUAGUCCACGCCGUAAACGAUGCUAACUCGUUUUU
rnacentral:rRNA from 1 species